AACGCACGAGACCUGCGGACCUGCGGAGGGAUCAUUACUGAGUGAGGGCCCUCUGGGUCCAACCUCCCACCCGUGUUUAUUGUACCUUGUUGCUUCGGCAGGCCCGCCUCACGGCCGCCGGGGGGCUUUCCGCCCCCGGGCCCGCGCCUGCCGGAGACAAUCUUGAACGCUGUCUGAAGAAUGCAGUCUGAGCGAUUAAGCAAAAUUAGUUAAAACUUUCAACAACGGAUCUCUAGAUCG
rnacentral:misc_RNA from 1 species